rnacentral:rRNA from 1 species
UAGGGAAUCUUCCGCAAUGGGCGAAAGCCUGACGGAGCAACGCCGCGUGAGUGAUGAAGGUCUUCGGAUCGUAAAACUCUGUUAUUAGGGAAGAACAAACGUGUAAGUAACUAUGCACGUCUUGACGGUACCUAAUCAGAAAGCCACGGCUAACUACGUGCCAGCAGCCGCGGUAAUACGUAGGUGGCAAGCGUUAUCCGGAAUUAUUGGGCGUAAAGCGCGCGUAGGCGGUUUUUUAAGUCUGAUGUGAAAGCCCACGGCUCAACCGUGGAGGGUCAUUGGAAACUGGGAAACUUGAGUGCAGGAGAGGAAAGUGGAAUUCCAUGUGUAGCGGUGAAAUGCGCAGAGAUAUGGAGGAACACCAGUGGCGAAGGCGACUUUCUGGUCUGUAACUGACGCUGAUGUGCGAAAGCGUGGGGAUCAAACAGG